GGAUUUCCUGCUGCUCCUUGGUGUGGUGGGAGUUUGCACUGGAUUGCUGCUGGAUAUCCUGAGGUGAAGCACAUUCCUGCUACAUGUGAGGGCUACAAGCCCUUCUGUUUGCACCGAGGGGAGUGUGAACGGGCGAGGGCUGCAGCGGAGCCCCUUGCGGCGAGGAUCAGCGCAAACCUUCAAGCAGCUACAGCAGUAGUAAGGUCUAUGGUUCCCUGCAGCGGAAGGACACGGAGCUGUGAAGAUGAAGGUGGGGCCGGAGAGACUCUGGGAGGUCAUAUCAUGAGAAGGACUUUGCUGCAGGGGAGCACAAGGCCCAGAGAGUCUGGAUGGGGCUUUAAGUGACCUCGUUUAAAUGUCCAGGGCCGGAGGGAGGAGUAUUGCGGUGUGAAGCCAUAGGAGGCCUUACAGAUGGAGGUCCCGGUGCGGUCGAUGCCGGAAGCUGCAGCGACGAAGCAGGACCGCGCUUAGGAAGGUGCAGGUUGAAGCGACCGCCGAUGGAGCGGGCUGACCCUCCUUCCUGCGGUGAGCGUGCCUGGUGUUGGUGGUUUUUGAGACGUGACAGAACGUGGCCCUUUCCCGGGUCUAUCGAGCAGCAUCGACUCAGUUUGGUUGGCUUCCUUUCAUCUUCUGGCGGCAUUAGCGGUACCUGCGAUGGGUGUUGGCUGGACUGUGUGCCGCGUCUGUCCUCUCACCAGGAGUCUGGAUUGCCCGGGAUCCCAGGAGGCGAAGAGCUCAGCGUUGGCAGUUCUGAUGCUGGAGGUGGCUUGGUGGCAGCUUGCUGUCCUUGGAUUCCUGGUGAAGCCGGCUCAGUACACGUGGCAGGGCCUCGAGUAGUGCUUCAGAAGCGGAGGAAGCUGGCUGCUUGGUUGUUCUCUGCUUGUUUUUCUUUUUUGGGGAAAUACUCCGAGUCCUGCAAGCACAAAGGAAAAAAAGUAAAACAAAUGCUUCUCAGAUUGCGUACCUUCUACUAACAGAUAUGUGCCAGAUGAUGUGUACUUAGAUGUAGGUGCAAAUAGGUGGCACCAAUAGCUCUGAAGGAAAAGGAAACGAAGACUUGCUGCUGGAACUGCUCUAUGUAACUUACUUUCCUGUGGGCUUGCAGGUUAACUUCAUUGUAUUUGUGGAUGACAGCAAAGAGAUGCUGCUAAGUUAUCUUAAAACUUACAGGGAAGAAAAACUGCUCUUGCUAAGCAACACACCUUAAAUGGAUUCUUGUGACUGCGUACCUAGUUUUCCAGACAGCCGUUGAAGAGACUGCUCACUAGCAUAAGACAGGUCCAAAGGAGCUGUUGCAGGUGACAAAAAAAAGGCACUUAUAUGUCAAGAGGCGUGUGCAAAAGGAUUGCCAUUCACCCUUGCAAAAUGAACUCUGACUCUGCUAUAUUUUGUGCUCCCUUAAACUGAAUUAACGGAAAGAAAUAAGGUGGCUGCAUUGGAAGAUGCUUGCUAUUAAAUAGCAAUUGGUGGGAGCAGCCCAAGUGGUGCUCGUAAUGUGUGUGGCAGCAAGAAUUCCUAAACCUCUAAGAGAAGAUGGAGAUGGGAAGCAGCGAAUGCGUCCAGUUAGUGAGUGGCUUGAUACUUCUGCUCUUUGUGCGGCUGCUGCUGUAUUACAUUACAUAGAUUAAUAAUAUUGUAAUUCAGUACUUCUUCCCUUGCAAAUAACUUCUUGCAGUGUUCUUUUCUGCGAUGAUAUUUGAAUGCGGCUUUUGCCCAAGAGCUGUGACUUCAGCUGCCAAAAUCCUGUAGUGCUACUGUGGUCACAUCCUGUGACAGGAAAUGGCUUGCAGGAAAAAAAAAACUGGCCACUUGGACUGCUUAAUAAUGUUAAUGAAGUUUGUUCACCCUGGGUGUUUCAUGCUGCUGUCUACUUAUUUCCAAAUGGAUGCCCUACUCUGAAAUAUUCUGUAGGAAAUAAAAGAAGUGAAAUCAAAAGGUGAGGUGAACAGCUAGAGAGCAGUGCUGCUGUCAAAAAGAAUCUCGAUGAGAACCCGAAAGAAAAGCUCACUUGAAUGAAGCUCACUAAGGUACAAACUCUGCUUUAUCCUUUAGAAGUAAGAUUCUCACUUACCCGCGUUGCCUGGGGAAGAGAACUGGGCUGGGGACGCUGCAAUUUCAACUCUGCUUGCUGUUCUAGCGCGUCUGAUUCAAAGGUGGACUCCUGGCACGAUGGAGCAGCUGAGUUCAGACUUCUCUUCUGGGGAGUUUGAUGGAAGGCUGGACAAGGCUCCGAAUGACCCGAUCUACCUCUAGGUGACCGGGAUAGGCACCAGGAAGCUGGACCAGGUGGCCUUUGACGGUCCCCCUCGCUCCCAGUGACUUGAAAACUGCAUUAAGUCAGACAGCGCUUCAAGAAAAGGGAAUCUUGGAGAUAUGCUAGCAGUAAUUUAAUGAUGUCAUUGAGUAAACUGUUUUUUUCAAUGUAGUUGAAAUGAUUACUUAAACUGUAAGAGCCAGUUACAUUGAUGUUAGUAACAAUGAUGAAUACUGUUCAGUUUUCUUGUACAGCAGUAAGUAUGCUGUAGUUUAGAUACCUUUCCUGUAUAACAUCCAGGUGCUAUUGCAUUUGUUUUAAACAGUUCUGGCAUGGCUGUAUGUUUAUCAGAAAAUGGAAAAAGACCCUGCUUUGUAACACUUAGCUGAUUUUACACCUUUGUAAUAACUUCACUGACUCAAUAAACUGUUUUUACAGCUGUGGUAAUA